rnacentral:rRNA from 1 species
CCUACGGGGGGCAGCAGUAGGGAAUCUUCCGCAAUGGGCGAAAGCCUGACGGAGCAAUGCCGCGUGAGUGAAGAAGGCCUUCGGGUCGUAAAACUCUGUUAUAAGAGAAGAACAAAUUGUAGAGUAACUGCUACAGUCUUGACGGUAUCUUAUCAGAAAGCCACGGCUAACUACGUGCCAGCAGCCGCGGUAAUACGUAGGUGGCAAGCGUUGUCCGGAUUUAUUGGGCGUAAAGGGAGCGCAGGUGGUUUCUUAAGUCUGAUGUGAAAGCCCACGGCUUAACCGUGGAGGGUCAUUGGAAACUGGGAAACUUGAGUACAGAAGAGGAAUGUGGAACUCCAUGUGUAGCGGUGGAAUGCGUAGAUAUAUGGAAGAACACCAGUGGCGAAGGCGACAUUCUGGUCUGUUACU